rnacentral:rRNA from 1 species
UACGUAGGGCGCAAGCGUUGUCCGGAAUUAUUGGGCGUAAAGAGCUCGUAGGCGACUUGUCACGUCGGGUGUGAAAGCCCGGGGCUUAACCCCGGGUCUGCAUUCGAUACGGGCUAGCUAGAGUGUGGUAGGGGAGAUCGGAAUUCCUGGUGUAGCGGUGAAAUGCGCAGAUAUCAGGAGGAACACCGGUGGCGAAGGCGGAUCUCUGGGCCAUUACUGACGCUGAGGAGCGAAAGCGUGGGGAGCGAACAGG